CUCCUCUUAGGGUCACACCUGGAGAGUUUCCAGUACUCUACCAGUCUCGACUAUGGGAGGGAGAGUCAAGCAGAGACAUAUCCAUUCCAUUCUUAGCUUAGGCAAUGGCUAGCGAAUAGAAAACAACCUGCUACAAGU